rnacentral:rRNA from 1 species
UACGUAGGGUGCAAGCGUUGUCCGGAAUUAUUGGGCGUAAAGAGCUCGUAGGCGGUUUGUUGCGUCGGCUGUGAAAUCCCGAGGCUCAACCUCGGGUCUGCAGUCGAUACGAGCAAACUAGAGUGUUGCAGGGGAGACUGGAAUUCCUGGUGUAGCGGUGAAAUGCGCAGAUAUCAGGAGGAACACCGGUGGCGAAGGCGGCAUCCUGGACUGGUCCUGACACUCAGGAGCGAAAACGUGGGGAGCGAUCCGG